GACGAACGCUGGCGGCGUGCUUAACACAUGCAAGUCGAACGGAAAGGCCCUGCUUGCAGGGUCCUCGAGUGGCGAACGGGUGAGUAACACGUGGGUGAUCUGCCCUGCACUUCGGGAUAAGCCUGGGAAACUGGGUCUAAUACCGGAUAGGAGCCAUUUUUAGUGUGAUGGUUGGAAAGUUUUUUCGGUGUAGGAUGAGCUCGCGGCCUAUCAGCUUGUUGGUGGGGUAAUGGCCUACCAAGGCGGCGACGGGUAGCCGGCCUGAGAGGGUGGACGGCCACAUUGGGACUGGGAAUCGGCCCAGACCCCUACGGGAGGCAGCAGGGGGGAAUAUUGCACAAGGGGGGCAAGCCUGAUGCAGCGACGCCGCGUGGGGGAUGACGGCCUUCGGGUUGGAAACUCCUUUCGCUAGGGACGAAGCUUUUUGUGACGGUACCUAGAUAAGAAGCACCGGCUAACUACGUG
rnacentral:rRNA from 1 species